rnacentral:rRNA from 1 species
AGAGUUUGAUCCUGGCUCAGGAUGGACGCUAGCGGCAGGCUUAAUACAUGCAAGUCGAGGGGCAGCAUGAACUAGCAAUAGUUUGAUGGCGACCGGCAAACGGGUGCGGAACACGUACACAACCUCCCUUUAAGUGGGGAAUAGCUCAGAGAAAUUUGGAUUAAUACCCCGUAACACAACGAAGUGGCAUCACUUUGUUGUUAUAGUUUCGACGCUUAAUGAUGGGUGUGCGUAUGAUUAGAUAGUUGGCGAGGUAACGGCUCACCAAGUCUACGAUCAUUAGCUGAUGUGAGAGCAUGAUCAGCCACACGGGCACUGAGACACGGGCCCGACUCCUACGGGAGGCAGCAGUAAGGAAUAUUGGUCAAUGGACGCAAGUCUGAACCAGCCAUGCCGCGUGAAGGAUUAAGGUCCUCUGGAUUGUAAACUUCUUUUAUAUGGGACGAAAAAAGGUCUUUCUAGACCCCUUGACGGUACCAUAUGAAUAAGCACCGGCUAACUCCGUGCCAGCAGCCGCGGUAAUACGGAGGGUGCAAGCGUUAUCCGGAUUCACUGGGUUUAAAGGGUGCGUAGGCGGGUAGGUAAGUCAGUGGUGAAAUCCUGGAGCUCAACUCCAGAACUGCCAUUGAUACUAUCUAUCUUGAAUAUUGUGGAGGUAAGCGGGAAUAUGUCAUGUAGCGGUGAAAUGCUUAGAUAUGACAUAGAACACCCAUUGCGAAGGCAGCUUACUACGCAUAUAUCGACGCUGAGGCACGGAAGCGUGGGGAUCAAACAGGAUUAGAUACCCUGGUAGUCCACGCCCUAAACUAUGGAUACUCGACAUAUGCGAUACACUGUAUGUGUCUGAGCGAAAGCAUUAAGUAUCCCACCUGGGAAGUACGUUCGCAAGAAUGAAACUCAAAGGAAUUGGCGGGGGUCCGCACAAGCGGUGGAGUAUGUGGUUUAAUUCGAUGGUACGCGAGGAACCUUACCUGGGCUAGAAUGCUGGGAGACCGCUAGUGAAAGCUAGUUUUGUAGCAAUACACUGCCAGUAAGGUGCUGCAUGGCCGUCGUCAGCUCGUGCCGUGAGGUGUUGGGUUAAGUCCCGCAACGAGCGCAACCCCUAUCUUUAGUUGCCAGCGAGUCAUGUCGGGGACUCUAAAGAAACUGCCUACGCAAGUAGUGAGGAAGGCGGGGACGACGUCAAGUCAUCACGGCCCUUACGUCCUGGGCCACACACGUGCUACAAUGGUUGGUACAGAGGGCAGCUACCGGGUGACCGGAUGCGAAUCUCUAAAGCCAAUCUCAGUUCGGAUUGGAGUCUGCAACUCGACUCUAUGAAGCUGGAAUCGCUAGUAAUCGCGCAUCAGCCAUGGCGCGGUGAAUACGUUCCCGGGCCUUGUACACACCGCCCGUCAAACAAUGGAAGCUGGGGGUGCCUGAAGUCGGUAACCGCAAGGAGCUGCCUAGGGUAAAACUAGUAACUGGUGUUAAGUCGUAACAAGGUAACC